rnacentral:rRNA from 1 species
GACGAACGCUGGCGGCGUGCUUAACACAUGCCAGUCGAACGGAAAGGCCCUGCUUUUGUGGGGUGCUCGAGUGGCGAACGGGUGAGUAACACGUGAGUAACCUGCCCUUGACUUUGGGAUAACUUCAGGAAACUGGGGCUAAUACCGGAUAGGAGCUCCUGCUGCAUGGUGGGGGUUGGAAAGUUUCGGCGGUUGGGGAUGGACUCGCGGCUUAUCAGCUUGUUGGUGGGGUAGUGGCUUACCAAGGCUUUGACGGGUAGCCGGCCUGAGAGGGUGACCGGCCGCAUUGAGACUGAGAUACGGCCCAGACUCCUACGGGAGGCAGCAGUGGGGAAUAUUGCACAAUGGGCGGAAGCCUGAUGCAGCAACGCCGCGUGCGGGAUGACGGCCUUCGGGUUGUAAACCGCUUUCGCCUGUGACGAAGCGUGAGUGACGGUAAUGGGUAAAGAAGCACCGGCUAACUACGUG